CCCGCUGAACUUAAGCAUAUCAAUAUAGCGGAGGAAAAGAAACCAACAGGGAUUGCCUCAGUAACGGCGAGUGAAGCGGCAACAGCUCAGAUUUGAAAGCCGAGUCUUGGACUUUGCAUUGUAAUCUGAAGAGGAAAUCUCGCGAACGAUUAGUCUCAAGUCUCCUGGAACGGAGCGUCAUGGAGGGUGAGAAUCCCGUGGAGAUGAAAUCCGACGCAUGUGAGAUUCCUUCGACGAGUCGAGUUGUUUGGGAAUGCAGCUCUAAUUGGGAGGUAAAUUCCUUCUAAAGCUAAAUAUCGGCUGGAGACCGAUAGCGCACAAGUAGAGUGAUCGAAAGAUGAAAAGCACUUUGAAAAGAGAGUCAAACAGCACGUGAAAUUGUUGAAAGGGAAGCGCUGUCCAUCAGACUUGUUGAUCAGGAUCACCCACCGUUCUCGUUGGGGCACUCUUGGUUGGACAGGCCCGCAUCGGUUGUAUUGAUAGAAGAAAGACCAUGGGAAUGUAGCUCUUCGUGAGUGUUAUAGCCCGUGGUGUAAUACGGCCAGCUUCGACCGAGGUCUGCGCUUCGGCUCGGAUGCGGGCGUAAUGGUGGUCAGCGGCCCGUCUUGAAACACGG
rnacentral:rRNA from 1 species